UGGGGAAUAUUGCACAAUGGGCGAAAGCCUGAUGCAGCAACGCCGCGUGCGGGAUGACGGCCUUCGGGUUGUAAACCGCUUUCAGCAGGGACGAAGGUUUUCUGACGGUACCUGCAGAAGAAGCACCGGCUAACUACGUGCCAGCAGCCGCGGUGAUACGUAGGGUGCGAGCGUUGUCCGGAAUUAUUGGGCGUAAAGAGCUUGUAGGCGGUCCGUUGCGUCGGAAGUGAAAACUCAGGGCUUAACCCUGAGCCUGCUUUCGAUACGGGCGGACUUGAGGGAUGUAGGGGAGAACGGAAUUCCUGGUGGAGCGGUGGAAUGCGCAGAUAUCAGGAGGAACACCAGUGGCGAAGGCGGUUCUCUGGACAUUUCCUGACGCUGAGAAGCGAAAGCGUGGGGAGCAAACAGGCUUAGAUACCCUGGUAGUCCACGCCGUAAGCGGUGGGCACUAGGUGUGGGA
rnacentral:rRNA from 1 species